UUUUUCUUUUAAACACAUCCCAACCCAAAGUAUAAGCGCCCACCUAGUUUUAUCUAGUCCGAAAAAUGCGAACUAGAACUACAUGAGACACUAUCUCUGUCGUUACAAACCUAACACUUUCUACCAAGCUUAAUUAGAAUAAG
rnacentral:sRNA from 1 species